rnacentral:lncRNA from 12 species
UUAUUUCAGUCAACUGGGAAAGAUGUUUUGAUUUCUUUAUGUAAUUUGUAAAGGGAGACAGUAAAUGUAUCCUUAUAGGCACAGAAUAAGAAUUAGAAGUACAUACAGAUUUAAGGCUUUGGGGGGGGGUGGUAGGGGUAAGUGUGUCUUAAAAGUUGAUCUUUUUCACAGCAUUGAUUUUGGAUGAAAUCUUGUGUUUGAGGCUAGAUUUGAGACAAGCAGUGUCCAUGGUCUGGUGGCACACUCAAGUGCUGUCUGAAUUCUGCUAUGUCCAGCAGCAUGCACAACAUUUGGAGCAUUAGACCUUAUCUGGACAAAGAUGAUAAUUCUGCUGGAGGGUUUCCCCAGCCCACAAUACUAUUCUUU